CCUACGGGGCGCAGCAGUAGGGAAUCUUCCACAAUGAGCGAAAGCCUGAUGGAGCAACGCCGCGUGCGUGAAGAAGGUCUUCGGAUCGUAAAGCCCUGUUGUUAGAGAAGAAAAUUCGUGAGAGUAACUGUUCACGUUUCGACGGUAUCUAACCAGAAAGCCACGGCUAACUACGUGCCAGCAGCCGCGGUAAUACGUAGGUGGCAAGCGUUAUCCGGAUUUAUUGGGCGUAAAGGGAACGCAGGCGGUCUUUUAAGUCUGAUGUGAAAGCCUUGGGCUUAACCGGAGUAGCGCAUUGGAAACUGGGAGACUAGAGUGAAGAAGAGGUGAGCGGAACUCCAUGUGAAGCGGUGAAAUGCGUAGAUAUAUGGAAGAACACCAGUGGCGAAAGCGGCUCACUGGGUUGUAACUGACGCUGAGGUUCGAAAGCGUGGGUAGCAAACAGGAUUAGAUACCCGAGUAGUC
rnacentral:rRNA from 1 species